CUGUUUCAAAGCCAUAGCUCACCUUGUGCAUUUGCUCUUUGUGGAUAGCUGCUCACGUACACAGGCACGUGUAUGCAUGCACAUAUGCUCACAGUCUCACACUUACCCACAGACAUGCACACACUGUCGCACACUUGCACACGCUGGCACACACACUGUCUUCCACAUAUGUGCACGCACACACACACCCUUCAUUCUUGCAGCGUGUCUGGUUCUUUCAGGCUCCAGGACAUAAGUAAUAACAUCAACAUGAACUGCAUAGCCCUUAAGAAAUUGCUAGAAAAAAGUCUUUAACCGUGGGAAGGAAAAUUUUGAGAGAAUGUGAACACUCAUUUCCCAUGAGCAUAGAAUAAGGAAAUGGGCAUAAACUUCAGCAGAAUGAAAUUAGGAUCGAGUUAAGAGGGAUUUUCUAAUCCAGAGGAGUCAAGAUCUUUGGAUUCUAAGGGGUCUUCUCUGCUAAUUUCAAAGAAAGCAUUAGACAGCAUUCUGUCUGAGAGAAAGACAGUGCUGAGAGCAGCACAGUUCAGAACCCGAUGUCUCUCAGAGGACUUUUCAAAAUGCCUUUUCCCCAAGACUCUGUGAAGGGCAUAAAAAACAAGCUGUGGCUUCUCAAACCUGGUCUCAGAAAACCCAGGUUGUGCUGUAGGGCUCCAGUCUCUGGUUCACACCCCUCCUGGCAUCUGAGGAGCAGAAAGACCUUGGGCAUCAGGCAAAAGCCACAUUUCCCCAAGGUCAGUACAAUUAACACCUCUCUUGACCGCAGAUGUGUGAAAAGAGAUGCCCCAAAUGAGCCUCCGAUUAACAUUCUUAGCAAAGGGUCAGACUGCUUAUUUGGGCAGACGGGAGAGCCUGAGUGGAGCUGAGGAAGAGCAUUCUGCUGCCUGGGCCGCAGCUGCCAACUACUCUCCUGCCCGCCCCCCCCACCUCUGUCAGCUGCUCUGGCCUCAAGCCCAUCCUCUUUCCCCACACUGGGGGCUGGGAGCCUGCUGAGAGCAAUCCUCACCUACUAAUCCUCAGACGCAGAACAUUCUACCAACGGUGAAGCAACGCUGACAUCUCCCGAGAUUUUUCUAAGGAACCCUUCGGUGGGCACAAGUACAGGAGGCGGCUUGCACCCACCUACAGGAGCCCGCUGCCCACCGAGGCCUAGAGCCGGCCUGAGCACCGGGCUCCUCCCCUCUCCGCACCUGCUCACUCCCUGAGGCCAUCCCUCUGCCUCGGCCUUUGCCUCCUCCUCCAAAGGGGGUCACUUAUGCCGGGGCCCUGACCGCGCAGGGCAGGGCAGCUGCGCCACUUCACAGCCUCCCCUCCUGGGGCUCGAUCCGGGGGCUCACGCGGGGCCCUCCUGGGUCCCACGGGCAGAGCCAGCCUCUCUCUGGCGAGGCUGAAGGGCCCUUCCCCACCGACAGUGCCGAACCGAGCCUGGCAAGAUGAGGCCUUGGCUCUCCUUUUCUUCUUUCAGAAAACACGCGAGUCCUAUCCGUUGUUCUCGGCUCCCUGGCCGCUGGCCAAGAGGCCACAGAGGAGGAACGCCCCGCACAGCCGUCUGUUCCGUGGCCCCCUGCACCCGCCCACGUCGGGGGAGGGCCCCGCCGCGGUGCCGCUCCUCCGGGGACAGCGGCCCUGAGCCGCCCCGGCCGCCGAGUUCCGGCUUCUGCUGGGCGAAAAGGGAUCUCGGAGAGCGGGAGGGCGCCGGCUACGGAGGGAGCGCGGCUCUCUGAACGGCGGGCUGCGGAUGAGGUGGAGGAGGAACGCUGGAAACUCCGUUUACUUUAUGUUAAAUUUCGCCAUUUAAAAGUUUGCACUGUGUAAUGCACAUACUUAAUUCAACUUAGAAGUAAACACACAUAGGCUGGGGCAGAAUGUUCAGGAAUGCUCUGGCACGGAAAUGUUAUCACACAGUUCGCAGUCCUCUGACAAACGGUUGCGCUGUUUGCCACGGUUGUGAACGGGGUGAAAUUCUCCAACUGCUCUAAUGAAUUGUGGGGAGAGGCGGGGAAGGUGUGGCCACGCUCCCAAGGGAACCCGGCUGGGAGGUCUGCACUUUCUCAGCGGCGCCAGGCAGCCCGAGGCGCCAGGGGAGGAGAGAGCUCACACCUGCUCAGCCUCCACACCUUGCACUCAGCACUUCCCUGAGCAUCUCCUGCUUCCAUCCUGGAAGCCAAUGGACAGAAACCAAUCCCUCUUCUCGUUGGAACACGCCUGGGAGAUCAAGGAGCGGGAGGAGCGAGCCCAGUCUCCCCCAGAUUCUGUUCAUACAAAGCGAUCCUCCGUGAACUGGAAGAGCACUGCGCAGGCUCCCGAGCCGGCAGCCCCGCAGAGGAAGAGGCCCAGCUGCCAGCUCCCUCUGCAGUGAUGUCCGUGCUGCCUGGAUUGCUUUCUCCUUGAGUCCGGCAUCAAACUGGGUAGCAGGGCUGACACUUGGAGGUCAAGACUAACAUUGAAAGUGGCUUUGAGGAACGCCUGGGUGGCUCAGCAGUCUGCGGUCGGCUCAGGUCCCGGGGCCGGGGAUGGAGUCCCAUAUCAGGCUCCUUGCAGGAGGCCUACCUUUUCCCUCUGCCUGUGUCUCUGCCUCUCUCUCUGUGUCUCUCGUGAUUAAAUAAAUAAAAUCUU